UUCCCUGUAAGGCAACAUGGGCUCUUGCCUGCCACUCUGGCCACCUGGUGUCUCCAUUGUAGUCUGUGCCUCAGUGAGGUCCUUAAGAGGGCAAGAGGUGACUUUCUUUCUAACCAUGUAGGGAGCCAGGGAAUCCCAGCUAGAGAUAGGCUUAGAUGGAUGCCAGCAGGCCCCUGGGUAGUUACGGUUCAAAGAACAAUGUGGAACCACAUAGGUUACAAAGUGAGUACAGAAAGGCCUCUAGAAGGCCUCAGGCAUUUGCCUUUUUCUUUUAGCUGAUAGGAUGGGGCGAGAUUAGGAGAUGGGACGAGGAAGGAGGAUGCUUUGAACUGAACAGACAAAUCUGUCUGACUUCUCACAGCUUGUUAUGUGGGAGAUUGUGGGGCCAGUUGCUUGUAGUUUUUUCCUGUCCCUGGGAAUAUCCCUGCCAGCACUGGGGCCAGGGCCCUGCAGACUGCCCUAUUUGCUUCAAAACUUCUUUCCCCAACCUGGCUGAUCUCACCAUGUCAAGACCUAGUUAUGCUUGAGCAGGCAUUGGGCUCCAGGCCUCUGGCCGCUCCAGAAGGGCACUUGACUGUAAGGAUGAAAUCCUGUC
rnacentral:lncRNA from 1 species